rnacentral:rRNA from 1 species
UACGAAGGGUGCAAGCGUUAAUCGGAAUUACUGGGCGUAAAGGGCGCGUAGGCGGUUAGUUAAGUCUGUUGUGAAAUCCCCGGGCUCAACCUGGGAAUGGCAAUGGAUACUGGCUGGCUAGAGUGUGUCAGAGGAUGGUGGAAUUCCCGGUGUGGCGGUGAAAUGCGUAGAGAUCGGGAGGAACAUCAGUGGCGAAGGCGGCCAUCUGGGACAACACUGACGCUGAAGCACGAAAGCGUGGGGAGCAAACAGA